rnacentral:rRNA from 1 species
UACGGGGGGAGCAAGCGUUGUUCGGAUUUACUGGGCGUAAAGGGCGCGUAGGCGGUCAGCACAAGUCAGUUGUGAAAUCUCCGGGCUUAACUCGGAAAGGUCAACUGAUACUGUGCGACUAGAGUGCAGAAGGGGGCAACUGGAAUUCUCGGUGUAGCGGUGAAACGCGUAGAUAUCGAGAGGAACACCUGCGGCGAAGGCGGGUUGCUGGGCUGACACUGACGCUGGAGGCGCGAAAGCUAGGGGAGCAAACGGG